GGAAGCAAUCAUACUAGCACUAAAGCACCGGAUCCCAUCAGAACUCCGAAGUUAAGCGUGCUUGGGUGAGAGUAGUACUAGGAUGGGUGACCUCCUGGGAAGUCCUCGUGUUCAAUUCC
rnacentral:rRNA from 1 species